AUAAAAGCUGUGAAGAAGAGGAUUAGAGAAUAACUAUUACUAAGAGAGGAAAGUUCAUAGGCUGAAAGACUUUCUGUGAAAAGAUUCUUAAAGGUAGCUUUGGAGCUUCCUUACUGAAAUUUUAGUAGGUAAGGACGGUGGAUAACAUCGUUAAAUUUAUUAAGAGUCUGUAUUGUAAAAAUACAGGAAAAAAGGUGGUAACGCGCACUGUCGUCCUUUAA
rfam:Clostridium tetani E88, complete genome.